rnacentral:tRNA from 1 species
GCCUGGGUGGCUCAGUCGGCUAAGCGUCUGACUCUUGCUUUCGGCUCAGGGCACGACCUCACGGUUUGUGGGUUCGAGCCCCACAUCAGGCU